rnacentral:rRNA from 1 species
UACGAAGGGGGCUAGCGUUGUUCGGAAUUACUGGGCGUAAAGGGCGCGUAGGCGGCGUGUCAAGUCAGGCGUGAAAGCCCCGGGCUCAACCUGGGAACCGCGCUUGAGACUGGCAUGCUCGAGUUCGGGAGAGGAUGGUGGAAUUCCCAGUGUAGAGGUGAAAUUCGUAGAUAUUCGCAAGAACACCAGUGGCGAAGGCGGUUCUCUGGGACGGUACUGACGCUGAGACGCGAAAGCGUGGGGAGCGAACAGG